UGGACCACACACACACCUCCAGUUGACCUUUCUCUUUCCUCCCUCCCUCGGAUCUUCUUCCAUUUCUGUACAACCAGUACAGACAACCUUCAAACUCCUUCAACCAGUAGCGGAUCGAAGCUGGGGAAGUGAUUUUUGUGUUCCUUGCAAGUCCAGGAGCUUAUCUAUACCAUUUUUGGUGAUUUGAAGCUUUUAGGACGUUUUAAAACAUCCCUAUGAAGCUCGGAGAAGAAAAACCAAGUAAAUUGGACGUCGGGAAAGUGAGAUUGGCGAGUUUUAAGUUUGGUCGGAUUCUCGUGGAUUUUUCCGACAAGAUCCCGUGAGUUUUAGGUCCUAAAACUGUUUUUCCAGUUUUUCUGGCAAUGACGACGGUCUGGCGAACCAAAGGAGACGACGGAAUAUUCCAACGGCGUCAGGGGAGACUUAUCCCGAGGACGAGCGUAGUCAAGGGCGACUCGGAGGCUACGAUCCUUCAACAUACUAGUUUUAGGUAGACUUGCUGAUGGAGGCAUUGAGGAUCUCGGCGGUUCUAACAAAAUAAAAUAUUCGUAGGAUAUCUUCUGGUACUGUAUAACUAGUACUUGUCCUACUGGACUGUACCUAGACUUUCUAUGCUCUGAUUAGAAGUAUUUACUCAUGUAUCUCACUCUUAGCAUUUUCUGCAUAUUAGUACACAGUA